rfam:Oryza glaberrima chromosome 10 Oglab10_0043_2, whole genome shotgun sequence.
UAUAAGUGCAGCCAUGGUUUUCCGCGCCCAACUUUAACCGUCCGUCUUAUUUGAAAAAAUUUAAAAACAUAAGUCACGAGUAAAGUACUAUUUAUAUUUUAUCAUCUCAUAACAAUAAAAAUAUUAAUUAUAAAAAACUUUCAAAUAAGACGAACGAUCAAAGUUGGACGUGGAAACUUAUGGUUGUAUUUAUA